GAUGAACGUGGCGGCGUGCCUAACACAUGCAAGUCGAGCGAGGGUUUGCUCAGUAUUGAGUAUUCUAACAACUAGAAUGUUCAAUUCUGAGCAAAACCAAGCGGCGGACGGGUGAGUAACGCGUGGGUAACCUGCCCUAUACACAUGGAUAACAUACCGAAAAGUUUACUAAUAGAUGAUAAUAUAUAUUUGCGGCAUCGCAGAUAUAUCAAAGUGUUAGCGGUAUAGGAUGGACCCGCGUCUGAUUAGCUAGUUGGUGAGAUAACUGCCCACCAAGGCGACGAUCAGUAGCCGACCUGAGAGGGUGAUCGCCCACAUUGGAACUGAGACACGGUCCAAACUCCUACGGGAGGCAGCAGUGGGGAAUAUUGCACAAUGGGCGAAAGCCUGAUGCAGCAACGCCGCGUGAACGAUGAAGGUCUUCGGAUCGUAAAGUUUCUGUUGCAGGGGAA
rnacentral:rRNA from 1 species